rnacentral:rRNA from 1 species
UUUUAUCAAGUGGUAGGAGAGCGUUCUAUUUGCGCCGAAGGUAUACCGGUAAGGAGUGCUGGAGCGAAUAGAAGUGAGCAUGCAGGCAUGAGUAGCGAUAAUUAAUGUGAGAAUCAUUAACGCCGUAAACCCAAGGUUUCCUACGCGAUGCUCGUCAUCGUAGGGUUAGUCGGGUCCUAAGUCGAGUCCGAAAGGGGUAGACGAUGGCAAAUUGGUUAAUAUUCCAAUACCAACAUUAGUGUGCGAUGGAAGGACGCUUAGGGCUAAGGGGGCUAGCGGAUGGAAGUGCUAGUCUAAGGUCGUAGGAGGUUAUACAGGCAAAUCCGUAUAACAAUACUCCGAGAACUGAAAGGCUUUUUGAAGUCUUCGGAUGGAUAGAAGAACCCCUGAUGCCGUCGAGCCAAGAAAAGUUUCUAAGUUUAGCUAAUGUUGCCCGUACCGUAAACCGACACAGGUGGGUGGGAUGAGUAUUCUAAGGCGCGUGGAAGAACUCUCUUUAAGGAACUCUGCAAAAUAGCACCGUAUCUUCGGUAUAAGGUGUGGUUCGCUUCGUAUUAGGAUUUACUCCGAAAGCGAAGAAACUUACAACAAAGAGUCCCUCCCGACUGUUUACCAAAAACACAGCACUCUGCUAACUCGUAAGAGGAUGUAUAGGGUGUGACGCCUGCCCGGUGCUCGAAGGUUAAUUGAUGGGGUUAGCAUUAGCGAAGCUCUUGAUCGAAGCCCGAGUAAACGGCGGCCGUAACUAUAACGGUCCUAAGGUAGCGAAAUUCCUUGUCGGUUAAAUACCGACCUGCAUGAAUGGCGUAACGAGAUGGGAGCUGUCUCAAAGAGGGAUCCAGUGAAAUUGUAGUGGAGGUGAAAAUUCCUCCUACCCGCGGCAAGACGGAAAGACCCCGUGGACCUUUACUACAGCUUGACACUGCUAUUUGGAUAAGAAUGUGCAGGAUAGGUGGGAGGCUUUGAGUAUAUGACGCCAGUUGUAUAUGAGCCAUUGUUGAGAUACCACUCUUUCUUAUUUGGGUAGCUAACCAGCUUGAGUUAUCCUCAAGUGGGACAAUGUCUGGUGGGUAGUUUGACUGGGGCGGUCGCCUCCCAAAUAAUAACGGAGGCUUACAAAGGUUGGCUCAGAACGGUUGGAAAUCGUUCGUAGAGUAUAAAGGUAUAAGCCAGCUUAACUGCAAGACAUACAAGUCAAGCAGAGACGAAAGUCGGUCUUAGUGAUCCGGUGGUUCUGUGUGGAAGGGCCAUCGCUCAAAGGAUAAAAGGUACCCCGGGGAUAACAGGCUGAUCUCCCCCAAGAGCUCACAUCGACGGGGAGGUUUGGCACCUCGAUGUCGGCUCAUCGCAUCCUGGGGCUGGAGCAGGUCCCAAGGGUAUGGCUGUUCGCCAUUUAAAGCGGUACGCGAGCUGGGUUCAGAACGUCGUGAGACAGUUCGGUCCCUAUCUGCCGUGGGCGUAAGAAGAUUGAAGAGAUUUGACCCUAGUACGAGAGGACCGGGUUGAACAAACCACUGGUGUAGCUGUUGUUCUGCCAAGAGCAUCGCAGCGUAGCUAAGUUUGGAAAGGAUAAACGCUGAAAGCAUCUAAGCGUGAAGCCAACUCUAAGAUGAAUCUUCUCUAAGCUCUCUAGAAGACUACUAGUUUGAUAGGCUGGGUGUGUAAUGGAUGAAAGUCCUUUAGCUGACCAGUACUAAUAGAGCGUUUGGCUUAUCUUUAAUAAAGCAU